GAUUCCCUACUAGACAUAACCUGCACAACCAUAGUAAAAGUGAGAAUCUGUUCAUCUUAUAUAAAUUUUAGUGUAGUGAAAAACACUAGAUUCCAGUUAAUUGAAACUAAAAUCAGUUCAUCAUCAGCAAAUCUCUUUGAUUCAAACUAAACAAUUUGAAGUAAGAAGCUCAUCAUGUGCCAACCAAACAGUCAGCUAUUCUAGCUAGUAGACACAGCAACCUAAAAAUGUAACAACUCUCUAGCAUUCCAAAAUUCAGGAUAUUUGAAAACACAACAUUCAUUCCAUAACCUGAAGUCCUGAAAAGCUUUACUUGUAUAUUUAAAGAUGAAUAAGUCUCAAAAAGUAGAAAUC
rnacentral:misc_RNA from 1 species